AAGAGACGUUGCCCUUCGGGGUAUACCUCCCACCCUUUGUUUAUUAUACCUUUGUUGCUUUGGCGGGCCCGUCCUCGGACCACCGGCUUCUGCUGGUCAGUGCCCGCCAGAGGACACUAAAACUCUGUUUGUUAAUAUUGUCUGAGUACUAUAUAAUAGUUA
rnacentral:misc_RNA from 1 species